rnacentral:rRNA from 1 species
UACGUAGGGCGCAAGCGUUAUCCGGAAUUAUUGGGCGUAAAGAGCUCGUAGGCGGUUUGUCGCGUCUGCCGUGAAAGUCCGGGGCUCAACUCCGGAUCUGCGGUGGGUACGGGCAGACUAGAGUGAUGUAGGGGAGACUGGAAUUCCUGGUGUAGCGGUGAAAUGCGCAGAUAUCAGGAGGAACACCGAUGGCGAAGGCGGUCUCUGGGCAU